rnacentral:lncRNA from 1 species
GGAACACAAUGGCAUUCUCUGGAUUAUAUUUAUACUCUUGACCUUGGCUUACUUCUUGGAUCUACAGAUAUAUUCUUAUGCAGCUUUUCUUCCUCUCAUGCAUUCCAGAUGUUUUGGACUCCAAUGACCACCAACAUGGCCAACAGUGAGGCAUGAUGGGAGCUGUAGUCCAGAACUUCUGAUGGACAGUAAGCUGGAGAAGUAUGUGUUUGUGAAUCACUGUCAGAAUUCACAUGACAACAUCCACCAUAUUUUUGACAUUCCACUGUAACAUCCUUAUAAACUAUAUUUAAUUCUUAGGAGGGAAUGAUAGGGGACUUUAUAGCUAUGUAUAUGGAAUGAUCAGUUAUCUUUGUAUCUUUAGGUAGACUCCUCUUUCUGUAGUGAAUUUUGGCCUUGUCACAGUAUCAUCUUAGAAAUUCCAUUUCUAGUUCAUUCCCCUUCUGACUGGUGCUUUGCUUUUUAUGGUGCAGGCUGAGGCCUCAUUGCUAUAGCACAAGUGGCUUUCAUGUACUAGGCAAAUAUAAUUGCAUCACAUCCAAACAACUUUGUACCACUUAAUUUUGGAAACAUCCAACACCAGCAGCUGUGCAUACGAGUAUAGAAUAUGGAUGAACAAAUCUGUCAAUUUUGGUUUCUCGUUUCUCUUAACAGCAUCAUAAGCUCAGUUCACCACAUUCCCACAGAGAAGUCAUAAAUAUUGUUAGCAUUUUAGUGUGCAUUUCUCCUAAUAGACACAUUUUUGCAGGCAAUUUCUCCUAAUGUAUCAAAUUACUGCAUGCUCUUUUAAACAAAUAUAUUAUCUUUAAUGCACACUUUCUCCUAUAUGCAUUUUUGUAUGCAGGUUUUGGUUGGAGAACUGCAACACAAAAUUCAGAAAAAUGUGAAUUUCAAAGGACAGCUCCAUUUCAGCUCUCCUAUUAUUUCUCAAGGUGCUAAUUGGGUUGGCAUUAAAAUGCAAAUUGAAUGGAAUGCCCUCCACUACUUCAGACUGUUAGGAUGAUAUUUUAGGGAUAUAAAAGCAUUGUACAGGAAGCACUUUCUUUACAAUGUGGUUACUGAAUAAAAAAUGACGAGUAUGAAAUCAUUUCUUUGAUUUGAAAUGGUUUAAAGAUCAUCUCCACAUUCUUCCUUCUAGCCAUUUUGACAAUUUGCGAUUCUGCUGGGUUUCGUUCCACUUUUAUAAAAAAAAACAAGAAGUGCUUAUUUAUUGUACCUGGCUAUUGCCCAAAGUUAACUUUGAACAUCAAAGGAAAAGCAUAGGAUUUGCAUCCCUCAAAUACAUCAGCUUUUCUGUGUGUAUUGUUAAAAACACCAGUCUUUUAUUUAUUUCUCUCACCCACAGGAAGGAGUUAAAAAAAGAAAAAGCCCAAAAGCCCAAAAUAGUUUGAGGCUUGGUUAAUAACAAUAACAGAUUCUUGGGAAAGAUGAGUGCUUAGGGUUAUUUCCACUCUGGGAAUGAAAUGAACGUAAGGCUGUUUCUUUCCAAGCCUAACAAGAGGAACACCUGGUAUCCCACUCCCCACCCAUGAUUAUAGAUUGUGGACUGUGCUGGAAGGCUGUACAAUUCCAUCAUCUUGGACCAUGGCUUGAGCAUGACACAAAUACGUUUUUACAAGAAUGGGAGCCCCAGGGUAUAACAAUUUUUUUUCUUGGGGCCUUUCCAGACAGUCCUUUUUUUGCAUGAUAAAUGCAAAAUAUUGCAGUAUUUUGUGGCAGGGGUAUAGUAUAUGUUCCAGAUACAUCACUUCACUAGAGCAAGUGUACAACAUGUCCCUGUAACACCACUAUCAAAUAGCAAUACUUGUUUGCUGGGGGUAAUGUACUUAUUCAUUCAACUGGUAUAGUGCACGGAUGUGUAAUAUACAAGUGUAACAAUGGACAGAGAUGUUCUUCUAGAUGUGUCUAUUUCUCCAAACCCAGUUGCUUAAAUUCCAGCUGUGUCUUUGGCAUGUGGCAAUUGGUGGAAAUAGUUUCUCUCAUAUAGAAAAAUGGUUAGCUGUGCUAAGGUGAAGAGCAGAAGGAAGUAGAGGCAUGGUGAUAGGUCAAAGAAGAUUGUGGCCCUUUAACAAUAUAUUUUUUACCUACUAUAUUUCCUGUGUUUAGAAGAAAAAAUCUGGAUCAUAUGUAAAGGAUAAAAAAGAGGGGCGAGAUGCUGAUAUUGAUGCUGAUGACAUCUAGUGGAUGCUGUGAAAAAAGUGGGCAUGAGCAGCACUGACUCUCCAAUAAACUCCUGCCUGGAAUUCAAGUUAAGAGCCAGUCUACAACUUUCUUCUGCCACAUGAGUUGUCUGAACAGCACCAGGGUGGCAGCAACAGCUGCAAAAUUCAGAGCCGUUCCUAUCAUGGCACUGAAGGCUGUAGGAGGGGAAGAUCAUUGUUCCAACCUAAAAUAUGAAAGACUUAAUAGCAGUGAAACACUGUGGAUCACAGCCUUCAUGCUAAAGUUAAUACGGUUUUGUGUCAUUUCUUAAAAUGUCACUGUCAUAAUCCCUCACAUUCUCUUUAGCUAGGUUCCUAAUUUGUGAUCAUGAAAAUGAAAGCUAAUGACUAACUUAAUCUAGAAUUGUAAGCUUCAUGAGCCCUCUAACUAAAUUGUCUCUUUAUCUUUCCAUGUUUCUUUCAGGUCUUGUCCUUCAGAGUCUGAGUGACAGAAAAGUGACUUUGAAUACAUCCAGAAAACAAACAGGGAAAAGAAUAGCAAGUGAAUUUCUGGAGUCCCUAACCUCUACUUUUAG